CAGCAGCAGCCGCCUCGGCAGGAAGUGAGCCCCGAGUGUUAGAGCCCAAGGCGAAACCCACGAAUGCUCAGACGGUUCUGUCCUUUCGUGGAGAGUGGAGGUCGGCUUCUUCUUUUCUUGUGUGUUAAUCUACGACGUGUGAGAAACGAAAGAAAAAAAAAAACGCGUGCCAAGCGUGUAUUGUGCACACGCAGCGCCUCUCAUACGCAUCAUACACACGGAUACGGAUACGUAUUGUAUACACACUGAGAGAAAAAGAGAGAGAGAGAGAGAAGAGAAAGAGGGUGAGAGAAGAGAAGGAAGAGAGAGAGAGAGAGAGAGAGAGAGAGAGAGAGAAGAGAAGAGAAGAGAAGAGAAAAAUCGAGCUCUCUUGUGUUGAUGGUGUGAUCAUCGUCGGUGAAUAGUAGUAAGAGGCUUCGGUAUCACAAGGUGUCAACAAUACGUCGUCGUUGUUAUCUGUUAUUCUCUUCUGUGGCGUCGUCGAUUACGAGGACCGCCGGUGACGCGUCGUCAUCGUCGUCUCCUUCUUGUGGUGUUCCCUCAGUGUGUCAUUUACUUACUUUUCAGUGAGAAAUCUUUCUUAAUAUACGAAAACAACACAACGAACGAUAAUAUUAGACAUUGAAGAAGAGAAAGAAGAAGAAGAAGAAGAUAAGAAGAAAAGAAAGAAAAAGAAAACAACAACAACAACAAUAAUAACAGUAAUUUUAACGAACGAGUAAUGCGCGCGCGUCAAUUCUACGUAUAAAAAGAGUGCGCGAAGUUUGUGAGGGAUUGUGAUUUGUCGAAAAAAAAACUCUUAUAUCGGAUCAUUCAUGAUUUUAAUUUCGUUAUGAAAAAAAAAACAGACUCUAAGUGAAAUUCGGCUUCGAAGAAAGAGAUAUUAUAGGGAGGGAGAGAGAUAGAUAGAUAGAUAGAGAGAGAGAGAGAGAGAGAGAGAGAGAGAGAGAGAGAGAAAAGAAAAAAAAGAACAAGUAGUGACCGGAACGCGCUACGGCUCAAGGAAAUCGAGAAGCGGCGCGCAGUUGUGCGCGAGAUCUCAUCGGCGGCGUGUCGAGGCUUUCUUUGACGUAGCACGGUUAAAGAAAACGGCGGCAAACUGUACGGCCACAGGGAGGACGACAUGCUCACGAUGGAGACGGACCUAAAAGGCGGUAGCCUGCAUGGUCAGAUGCCACCGCAUCCGCACCAAGGUGUAUCGCCGAUGGGUCACCAUACCGGCGUGUCGCCUUACGGAACACUAGGUUCCAUAGUUCAUAGUCCAGCCCUAUCUGGAAGUCCACCUAGCAGUAGUACCCUAGGAUUAGGUCUGCAGCAUCAUCAUCAACCGCAGCAUCAUUAUGCUUCGAUGCAGGCGGCAGCUGCUGCAGCCCAACAGCAGCAGCAACAGCAACAACAACAGCAACAACAACAACAACAGCAGCAGCAGCAACAACAAAACAUGCAUACCCUUGCGGCUCAGCAAAGUGCCGCACAACAGCAACAUCAUCCCCAUCAGCAACCGCAACAACCACAGCAGCAACAAUCCCAAAAUCAACAUCAUCAGCCACCAAAUAAUAAUAAUAAUACGAAUAAGAACAAUAAUAUAGACAGAGUAAAAAGGCCAAUGAACGCUUUUAUGGUCUGGUCCCGUGGUCAGCGACGUAAGAUGGCUCAAGAGAAUCCCAAGAUGCACAAUUCUGAGAUUUCUAAACGCUUAGGAGCCGAAUGGAAAUUACUUAGCGAAACGGAAAAACGUCCGUUUAUUGACGAAGCAAAGCGAUUGCGUGCGGUGCACAUGAAAGAGCACCCGGACUACAAGUAUCGUCCAAGAAGAAAAACGAAAACACUUUUGAAAAAAGACAAGUUCCCGCUCGGCGGCGGUGUCGGAGGAGUUGGCGUUGGCGUUGGUGUCGGUGGCAUAUUAGGGGUAGAUCAAAGACAAGUCGGUAGUACGGGUGGGCCCCAGCAAGGACAGAUAUCCCGAGAGGUCUAUCAGAUGCCUAACGGAUAUAUGCCGAAUGGUUAUAUGAUGCACGAUCCGACGGCCGCUGCGUAUCAGCAGCACGUUGCCUAUGGUGGUCACAUGGGUGGAGCGGCGGCAGCCGCGGCCGCUGCUGGAUAUCCAAGAUAUGAUAUGGGACAUCAUAUGGGUGGUGGCAGUCCACCAAUAAACAGUUAUAUGAAUGGAUAUGGUGGUUACGCUGGAACCACUGUACCCGGCGGCUCACCUUCGCCCUAUCAUCAGCCUCAAUCUGGAUCCCAAAUGUCCAGCCACAGUCCUAGCGGCAGCAGUAUAAAAUCUGAGCCAACGAGUCCUGCGAGUGCUGGUAUACAUACUCCCACACCUACCAGCGGACCGGGCGCCUCGAGCGCAGCGUCUGGUCCGCAACAGCAGCAACAGGCGCAACAACAACAAGCUGCUGCUGCUGCUGCUGCCGCCGCCGUUAAACGUGAAUAUAUGGGCCAACAAACCCAUCAAACUCAUCAAUCUCAGGGAGAUCUUAGACAGAUGAUAUCCAUGUAUUUGCCGCAAGGCGUCGACCAAGGGGUCGUCCAACAUGGUGCUGGUGUCUAUUCUCCAGGUCCAUCACCGGAUCCUUUGGCGCAACAUCACUCGAUACCACCCCUCAGUCAUAUGUCUGAAAGUGAUCGAAAAAUGUUGAAUCCAGAAACCGGUUGUUAUUCGGAAUCCGUACGAGCAUGGGAUUGGAACGCGACGGGCAACGUGCGCGUACAAGAGUCCUGGCCGACGUGAGCGGAUUUCGCCGCGGCUAACUCGAACUUCUCCAACGACGAAGGAUCAGGAUCCUUGAUUGUUUCGCGCCUCACGGUAUCAAUGCCCGGAGGAAACAUACAGGAUGCCCGUGGACUAUUAUAGUGCCAGAUCGACUUCGUCUAGGAGAUACUUCGUUAACGAUUAAGAUAAUUUCGACGAGUAUUAGGAAGAUGGAAGUGGUGUGGGUGGUGUGGGUGCGUGCGUGUGUGUGCGUGUGCGUGUGCGUGCAUUUGACGAAACAAACGAUAUGAUUAACGUAUAUACGAUGUAUAACGUAACUCGGGUGAUUCGGUUUAAUAGAUUAUAUAUUAAACGAUGUAAAUAUCGGUGUGCAAUAAGUCGAUACUUCCUCGUUUAUGAUAGGCGAGAAAGUCCUUGUUAUUAUCACCGUUACGGUUAGCAUUACGAACCAUUAUCGUUACGGAGCAUCGCUUAUCAUUAUCGUAUCUGCCGUGAAGAGGAGGAACUCGUUGAAUUAUUCAUGCGGCGUUUAUGACGGAAUCUUUUUUCUUUUUUUUCUUCUUUUUUUCUUUUUGUUAGAUUAAAAGUGUGAAAGAGAGAGAGAGAGAGAGAGAAUGAAACAGAGAGUGUAUGAGAGAAUAAGAGAGAGAGAGAGAGAGAGAGAAGUACGUAGAGUGAAUGAGAGGGUCGCGCGAGUCUCGGGUAACCGUUCGCGCGCUUCGUUAUAAAUCAUCGCAUGACGUAUGUACAUACGUUAAGGAGCCAACUCAGAUUUUCUUUCCAUCCUUUUUUUCCUUUAUUUUUCUUUUCUUUUUAUUUUUUUCUUCCUCGAGCUCCUUCACUCGCGAAAGAAGAAUCCUUUGCAUAUCGAAGAGCGAUGCGACCAUUCCGAGAAGACCGAAAAAGACACAUAUAGACAUGCAUACAUAUAUAUAUAUAUAUACAUAUAUAUAUAUAUAUAUGUAUGCAUGUAUGUAUGUAUGUAUGCGUUCACAACCACCCAUUAUGAAAACACAGAAACACACAUUAUAGCGUCUUCGUGUUAACAUGUAUAUUUCUUCUGUAAAUAAAUUAUUCGUGAUAAUCGCUGCGAGUGAUGCGACACAUAUUUUAAUUAUUACGUUUGAUUAUUACCAAACCGAGUUAUAAUAUCCUCGGCCUAGCGAUCGACACGACUGUCUUACAAUUGAUAUAGAUUUAUUAUUAUUAAGUAAAAUAUUAAUGUAGUAAGAUUAGUAGUACAUGCUCGUUGAUUUAUCGUGAAACGUUUCGUUGUAAGCCGAUCUCUCGAGAUAAAUCGUAGGUGAUAAGGGAGUAUCGAUUUUACACGAAGGAGGAGAUCGAUUUAAAUGAACGAGCUACGCGAUAAGGUGUGUUACAUAAAAGAUUCCCGUGAGUGAGAGGAGAACCCGAGGAAUCGAUCUUGUAACAGCAUGGAUAUAAACGAAAAUAGUCGGCGAACGUAACGAUCAACAUCAAGAAACAUGUUUAUUCGAUCUAUAAUAUGAGUUAAAGAAAGGAUUCAACUAGGAGCGAACGAACAUAAGUAAAUUUUUACCUUUCAUGCGAAAUAACACGUUCACGUGUCUCGUUCAACAAUUCGCACGUAUGAUCGCAAUAAAGGCCGUGCAAAGAUAACAAUAGACGAGCUUUUGUUGUUACUACGAAUAUUUCCCUACAUUUGUAUCAUAAUCGAGAAUUAAUUCUUUCAUUA